GUGCUGUAUGAAAGGAGAGGAGGUUAGCACACUCCCUGACAAGGAUGGAAGAGGCCCUUCGGCCUGACAACACAGAUACGGUUAAGCCAUUGCCACCUAUGCUGUGACAUCUAACGGUU
ensembl:snRNA